rnacentral:rRNA from 1 species
GACGAACGCUGGCGGCGUGCUUAACACAUGCAAGUCGAACGGAAAGGCCCUGCUUUUGUGGGGUGCUCGAGUGGCGAACGGGUGAGUAACACGUGAGUAACCUGCCCUUGACUUUGGGAUAACUUCAGGAAACUGGGGCUAAUACCGGAUAGGAUCUCCUGCUGCAUGGUGGGGGUUGGAAAGUUUCGGCGGUUGGGGAUGGACUCGCGGCUUAUCAGCUUGUUGGUGGGGUAGUGGCUUACCAAGGCUUUGACGGGUAGCCGGCCUGAGAGGGUGACCGGGCACAUGGGGACUGAGAGACGGCCCAGACGCGUACGGGAGGCAGCAGUGGAGAAUAUUGCAGAAUGGGCGGAAGCCUGAUGCAGAAACGCCGCGUGCGGGAUGACGGCCUUCGGGUUGUAAACCGCUUUCGCCUGUGACGAAGCGUGAGUGACGGUAAUGGAUAAAGAAGCACCGGCUAACUACGUG